UACGUAGGGGGCAAGCGUUGUCCGGAAUCAUUGGGCGUAAAGCGCGCGUAGGCGGCCCUGUAAGUCCGUUGUGAAAGUCAAAGGCUCAACCUUUGAAAGCCGAUGGAUACUGCAGGGCUAGAGUCCGGAAGAGGCGAGUGGAAUUCCUGGUGUAGCGGUGGAAUGCGCAGAUAUCAGGAAGAACACCGGUGGCGAAGGCGGCUCGCUGGGCCAGUUCUGACACUCAUCCGCGAAAGCGUGGGGAGCAAACAGG
rnacentral:rRNA from 1 species